UGGAUUUUUGAACACUUGUAGCACAUGGUGUCCUGGGAAUCCUGGCUAUGUAAAUUUCACCUGCUAGCUCAUUAUCAGGGGAAGUGUUGGUCAUGCUAGUGUGCAUACUCACUUGGGAAGAAAUGGAAGUAGGAGAGAGCAUAUCAUCCAAUACUAAGGAUUUCAAUUAUCAUGGUGUAUUCAAGUCAAAGCUAAAUAGUAGUCUGCGUCCGCCUACCUUGGCAAGGAUACCAGGUGAAUCUACUUUGGUGUUGUAGCUUCUUUCCUUCAUAUUACUCUUAUUUUGGGGGAUUUAAUUUGUUCUUAAUCCUAUUUCCAUUCUGGGUGAAAAUGCUGGGAACCUUUUGGACACAU